rnacentral:lncRNA from 1 species
AGUGUGCAAUUUAUUGAUGCUUACUGUUCUAGGCAGCUGAGUGGCAUUAAUGUGUAGAAUUGAUACACAGUCAAGUAUUGAGAGACCUAGUGUGAGAUUAAUUUUGUUUGCUGUGAUGGGUGAUAAUUUGCUUUGUGUGAUUGAAGAAGAAGAGGAAGAAGAAGAAGAAAAAGAAGAAGAAGAAGAAGAUGAUGAAGAAGAGAGAAAUGCAGGGUGUAAAUUGAAUGGACAAGAAGGGGGGUUUAAGUUUUAAGAAGAUUAAUAAUAAAAGAAAAUUAGGGUUUGAGUGAAAUACUGGGUAAGCUUGCAGUGCAGUGUCAUUUUCUGUUACAGAUUUC